rnacentral:misc_RNA from 1 species
GAUGAAGAAACGUAGCGAAACGCGAUAGUUAAUGUGAAUUGCAGAAUUCAGUGAAUCAUCGAGUCUUUGAACGCACAUUGCGCCCAUUGGUAUUCCGUUGGGCAUGUCUGUUUGAGCGUCAUUACAACAGUUCAGCGUAAGCUGGUUAUGAGUUCUGUUUUUUUAAACAAAAAACAGGCUUUAAAAUGUAUGUUCUGCAGGUCGCUUUGCUAAACCCUAAACAUUAAAUACUGUUCUAGUGAAGCAUUUGCGACUCUGCCUGAAAAAAAACUUUUGUUAAAGUUUGACCUCAGAUCAGACAAGGAUACCCGCUGAACUUAAGCAUAUCAAUAAGCGGAGGA